rnacentral:tRNA from 1 species
GGGGGUAUAGCUCAGCUGGUAGAGCGUCUGCUUCGCAUGCAGAAGGUGGUCGGUUCGACUCCGAUUACCUCCACCA